UUAUAUUCUCCACCGGGGGGGAUGAGAACCCCCGACCGGGGUUCGACAACUGGCAACGCCAGUUGGAGAGACCGCGAGCCUGCGAGCGGGCUGCCCCGCAGGGGCGAGCGAAGCGAGUCAAUCCCCCCCUCACCGCCA
rnacentral:sRNA from 1 species